rnacentral:rRNA from 1 species
UACAGAGGGGGCAAGCGUUAUUCGGAAUUAUUGGGCGUAAAGGGCGCGUAGGCGGCUUUGCAAGUGACGGGUGAAAUCCCACGGCUUAACCGUGGAACUGCCUGUCAGACUGCAUGGCUUGAGACCAGGAGAGGUGAGUGGAAUUCCCAGUGUAGUGGUGAAAUGCGUAGAUAUUGGGAGGAAUACCAGUGGCGAAGGCGGCUCACUGGACUGGUACUGACGCUGAGGCGCGAAAGCCAGGGGAGCAAACGGG